AGAGUUUGAUCCUGGCUCAGGAUGAACGCUAGCUACAGGCUUAACACAUGCAAGUCGAGGGGCAGCAUGGUCUUAGCUUGCUAAGGCCGAUGGCGACCGGCGCACGGGUGAGUAACGCGUAUCCAACCUGCCUUACACUCUUGGACAGCCUUCUGAAAGGGAGAUUAAUACAAGAUGUUAUCAUGAGUAAGCAUUUUCGCAUGAUUAAAGGUUUACCGGUGUAAGAUGGGGAUGCGUUCCAUUAGAUAGUAGGCGGGGUAACGGCCCACCUAGUCUUCGAUGGAUAGGGGUUCUGAGAGGAAGGUCCCCCACAUUGGAACUGAGACACGGUCCAAACUCCUACGGGAGGCAGCAGUGAGGAAUAUUGGUCAAUGGACGAGAGUCUGAACCAGCCAAGUAGCGUGAAGGAUGACUGCCCUAUGGGUUGUAAACUUCUUUUAUACGGGAAUAAAGUGAGGCACGUGUGCCUUUUUGUAUGUACCGUAUGAAUAAGGAUCGGCUAACUCCGUGCCAGCAGCCGCGGUAAUACGGAGGAUCCGAGCGUUAUCCGGAUUUAUUGGGUUUAAAGGGAGCGUAGAUGGAUGUUUAAGUCAGUUGUGAAAGUUUGCGGCUCAACCGUAAAAUUGCAGUUGAUACUGGAUGUCUUGAGUGCAGUUGAGGCAGGCGGAAUUCGUGGUGUAGCGGUGAAAUGCUUAGAUAUCACGAAGAACUCCGAUUGCGAAGGCAGCCUGCUGGACUGUAACUGACGCUGAUGCUCGAAAGUGUGGGUAUCAAACAGGAUUAGAUACCCUGGUAGUCCACACGGUAAACGAUGAAUACUCGCUGUUUGCGAUAUACUGUAAGCGGCCAAGCGAAAGCGUUAAGUAUUCCACCUGGGGAGUACGCCGGCAACGGUGAAACUCAAAGGAAUUGACGGGGGCCCG
rnacentral:rRNA from 1 species